rnacentral:rRNA from 1 species
CACGUAGGGCGCAAGCGUUGUCCGGAAUUACUGGGCGUAAAGCGUGCGCAGGCGGUUCGUUAAGUCAGAUGUGAAAGCCCCGGGCUCAACCUGGGAACUGCAUUUGAAACUGGCGGGCUUGAGUAUGGCAGAGGGGGGUGGAAUUCCGCGUGUAGCAGUGAAAUGCGUAGAGAUGCGGAGGAACACCGAUGGCGAAGGCAGCCCCCUGGGCCAAUACUGACGCUCAGGCACGAAAGCGUGGGGAGCAAACAGG